rnacentral:rRNA from 1 species
UACAGGGGGCGCGAGCGUUGCUCGGAAUCACUGGGCGUAAAGCGUACGCAGGCGGGUCGGUAAGUUCGUUGUGAAAUCCCGGGGCUCAACCCCGGAACUGCGAUGAAGACUGUCGAUCUUGAGUACGGGAGAGGGGAGCGGAAUUCCUGGUGUAGAGGUGAAAUUCGUAGAUAUCAGGAGGAACACCGGUGGCGAAAGCGGCUCCCUGGCCCGAUACUGACGCUCAUGUACGAAAGCGUGGGGAGCAAACAGG